UGGGGAAUUUUGGACAAUGGGGGCAACCCUGAUCCAGCAAUGCCGCGUGUGUGAAGAAGGCCUUCGGGUUGUAAAGCACUUUUGUCCGGAAAGAAAACGCCGUGGUUAAUACCCGUGGCGGAUGACGGUACCGGAAGAAUAAGCACCGGCUAACUACGUGCCAGCAGCCGCGGUAAUACGUAGGGUGCAAGCGUUAAUCGGAAUUACUGGGCGUAAAGCGUGCGCAGGCGGUCCGCUAAGACAGAUGUGAAAUCCCCGGGCUUAACCUGGGAACUGCAUUUGUGACUGGCGGGCUAGAGUAUGGCAGAGGGGGGUAGAAUUCCACGUGUAGCAGUGAAAUGCGUAGAGAUGUGGAGGAAUACCGAUGGCGAAGGCAGCCCCCUGGGCCAAUACUGACGCUCAUGCACGAAAGCGUGGGGGAGCAAACAGGAUUAGAUACCCUGGUAGUCCACGCCCUAAACGAUGUCAACUAGUUGUCGGGUCUUCAUUGACUUGGUAACGUAGCUAACGCGUGAAGUUGACCGCCUGGGGAGUACGGUC
rnacentral:rRNA from 1 species